UACAGAGGUCCCAAGCGUUGUUCGGAUUCACUGGGCGUAAAGGGUGCGUAGGUGGUGGGGUAAGUCGGAUGUGAAAUCUCCGAGCUCAACUCGGAAACUGCAUUGGAAACUACCCUGCUAGAGGGUCGGAGGGGGGACUGGAAUACUUGGUGUAGCAGUGAAAUGCGUAGAUAUCAAGUGGAACACCAGUGGCGAAAGGCGAGUCCCUGGACGACUCCUGACACUGAGGCACGAAGGCUAGGGGAGCAAACAGG
rnacentral:rRNA from 1 species